rnacentral:misc_RNA from 1 species
GUGAGUCAUCGAAUCUUUGAACGCACAUUGCGCUCCUUGGUAUUCCGAGGAGCAUAUCUGUUCGAGCGUCAUAUCUCUCUCAAGGCUACCAUUUUACUGUGGGAGACUUGGUGCUGAGCUCGGAGAGCUGAGAAGCCUCCGGCUCCAAUUUCGCACGCUUGCGGUCCCCGUUGAACCUCAGACAUGAUAAACUUGACUGUUUGGUGUGUUCUUGACGGUGGAUUCGCCACUGAACCCCCCCAAAAGUUUGACCUCGGAUCAGAUAAGGAUACCCACUGAACUUAAGCAUAUCAAUAAGCG